rnacentral:rRNA from 1 species
GACGAACGCUGGCGGCGUGCUUAACACAUGCAAGUGGAGCGACGAACCAGGGCUUGCCCUGGGGCAGAGCCGCGAACGGGUGAGUAACACGUGGGUAACGUGCCCCAAUGAUCGGGACAACCCGGGGAAACCCGGGCUAAUACCGAAUGUGCUCCCCUCACACCAGUGAGGGGUGGAAAGGAAGCUUCGGCCUCCGCAUUGGGAUCGGCCCGCGGCCCAUUAGCUUGUUGGUGAGGUAACGGCUCACCAAGGCUGCGAUGGGUAGCUGGUCUGAGAGGACGAUCAGCCACACUGGGACUGAGACACGGCCCAGACUCCUACGGGAGGCAGCAGUGGGGAAUCUUGCGCAAUGCGCGAAAGCGUGACGCAGCAACGCCGCGUGGGGGAAGAAGGCCUUCGGGUUGUAAACCCCUUUCAGGAGGGACGAAGCCUCGGCCGUUAAUAGCGGACCGAGGUGACGGCACCUCCAGAAGAAGCCCCGGCUAACUACGUGCCAGCCGCCGCCGUAAGAC